CGGAAUAGGCUCAGUCACCAACCGCCACCAUUGGAGCCGCCCGGAGCUCCUGCUCCCCGUCGACCCUCCCCUCCAGACCACCUCCGCUCGAGCCGAGCCCCGGAACGGGUCCCUCUCGGCCCACUGAAGGUCCCCAACCCGUCCCUGCUCGCCCAGCCUCGCCGGACCGCCGCCCCACGCCGCCACCGCUGCCGCCAAGCUCCUGCUCCCGCCGAGGGCCCUUCUCCGGCCACCCCGGCGUCAACCGAGACCACCCGCAGGUACGCUAGAUGUACGACGCGUGGAGCUAAAGGAUAAAGUCGGAGCCGAACCCGAAGAUGAUGUUUGGUUGACAUAUCCAGAAGAUGGAUGGAUGGAUCCCGAUGUGCACGACCGAAGGCAGGUGCUCGUCAAGCGAGUGUCAUCUAACCAACACUAACUAAUUCAGUGUUAAUCCCAGGCAAGCCCCGGAGCAUAACCCUUAACUUUAGUA